UGCUCUGUCACAGUGAUAAAGAUCAUGUGCCUUACUGGGACCCUACAGAAAUGCAUUUCCCAAUCUAUGUUCUGGAGCUGGAUGUUACCACCGGCCCUGCAGUGGAGCCUGUUCUGCCUCAUGCAGCAAGAAGAUCAUGUUUCUACUCUCCUCAUGACCUGAUGGGUGCAUCGAUUUGAAGACAGCAUUGGAGAAGUGAAGCUGAAAAGCUGAACUGCAGGAUGGAGAGGUAGGAGGGUCACCUCGUAAUUUGCUGGGGCUAAGCUUGUGAUGCUGGCAUGCAUGCUGCAGAAAGCUGCCUGAGUUUUGGCAAAGAGCUGCAGCUCUUACUGAAGGGCUAUAGGAUGCUAUUUUUCUCCUCUUUCUGUACUGUCUUUCUUAUUUUAUAGUAGGUUUUUUUUUCUUUUUUUUCUUUUCUUCACCCC